UUUAUUUUAUUUUAUUUUAUUUUUUCAAUUCAAUUUCAAUAUAUCUCUUUUAAUUCAAAAUCUUUUUCACUUUUGUUUAUGGUAAUAAUUUCCAUAAUUUCUAUGAUGGAGAAGACAGAGACUGUCUGGGUUUUACUCCUUUCCUAAAAUGUUGUGUUUUCAUUUUCUUUUCUGUUUUUCCUGUCUGCCUGUAGUACUUAGUCUCUGUUUUCUCUCUCUUGAGUAUUCUUUGUUCUGAAGUUUAAUUACCACGAGUUUUACAGUGUUGGUUGCUCUGCAUCAAUGUUUCACUAAACAUUCGAGAGUUUCCUAUUGAUCUGUGGUUUCAGACCUUCCUUGAUUUUCCAUUCUUUACCAUCCCCCCCUUGGGGGUUCUCCACUUCAAGAAUCCCAUUUAUGCUUAUGUUUCAUUGUCUUAGUGAGUUCAGGCUGAUAGAAAGGUUACCCUUGACGGGUGGCUUAUACAUGACAGACGUUUAUUUCUCCCAGCUUUGGAGAUUGCGCAGUCCAAGAUUAAGGUACCAGUAGUCCCAGCAUCUGGAGAGGACCCAUUUCCACACUCACAGGUGUGGCCUCAUGUGGUAGAAAGAGUGAGGGAGUUCCUAGUGGUUCUUUUAUAAGGGCACUAACUCCAUGCAUGAGAGCUCUGCCUGCACAACCUAGUUAUCUCCCAAAGACUCCACCUUGGGUGGUUAGGAUUUGGACAUAUGAAUUUCUAGGCAGAGGUUAGGUGGGAGUGUGGACCUAGACAUUUAGUCUCUGGCACUGAUCACUCUUUCCUGACCUCACUAUUCAUCUUCUCAGCAAUUACUAGAAUCUUUGCAUUUUUUAUAAUUCAUUAGCAUUACUAUAAUUCUUCUUUCUGUGCCAUUAAUAUGACUUUUAGCAAUGCUCUUUAUCCCUUGCUGUUCAUGAUUUAUUUAGAAUCCCUCUAAUGUUCAUAUGAUAGUUAUCAAUUCAUUUCAUUCGCUUGACAAUCUCCCUCAACUUCAUUCCAUAAUUUUGUCAUUUUAUUUUUAAUGCUUAUUUAAUAAACUUAUAUUCUUCUUAUUUCCAUCAUUCCAAAUAAAUUUAGGCAAUCCCACUCUCUGGAGUGACACUGUUUUCUAGAGUGGGAUAUUUUUCUCUCUGUAUUUCUUGUUGAUAGUAGUAUGCAUGUACGUAGUAGAUAGUAUAAAAUGUAGUAUGUUGUAUAGUGGCUACACUCUUUCCAUCUUGUUCAGGUCACAUGGAUAGCUCUCUGCCUCUGCAACUCAGGUAGUAUACAUUUAUAUUUUUCUCUCAUGGCUCUAUUUUUAGGCCUGCUUUCUAUUUUCAAAUGAUUAUUGUAAUUUUUGUUGGGGGGGGAUAAAGUUUGAAUGUCAAGAUUCUGAGACUGAAUCAAGGAAAUUAAAGACCUCUACAACAAAAUUAUAAAACACUCAUGAAGGAAACUGAAGGAAUAUUGCCUAUGUUAAUGGGUUGGAAGAAUUAAUAUUGUUGAAAUGGGCUUAUUCCCCACAAGGAUUAUUUUCAGAUUCAAUGCAAUUGCCAUCAAAGGGUCAGUGAUAGUUUUCACAGAACUGGAAAAAGAUCCUAAAAUUCAUAUGAAAACACAAAAGACCCAAAAUAGCCAAAGCAAUCUUGGACAAAAAGAGCAAAGCUGGAGACAUUUGAUUUUAAGAAAAACAGAUAAGCGCGGCAGUGGCAUAAUAGCAGAUACAUAGAGUGGUGGAACACAAAAGAUCCCGGAAAUUAAUCCAUGCAUGUACAGCCAACUAAUUCUUGAUAAAGGCACCCAAAACACACAACAUAGAAAGGACAGCUUCUUCAAUAAUUUUUGCUGGGAAAACUGGAUAUUCAUACACUGAAUACUGAAACUUGCCUCCCACCUCAAACUUCUCACAAUGUACAAAAAUCAACACAAAAUGGACCAAAAACCUAAAUGUAAGGCCUGAAACUAUGAAACUACAAAAUGAAAGCAAGGGAUAUCUUUCAAGACUUUCGUAUAGCCAAUGAUACUUUGGAUAAGACUCUAAAAUCACAUAGAGGAACAUACAAUUCUAUUGAUUAUAUAAAACUCAGACAUUUCUGUGUAUCAGAGGAAACAACAGAGUGAAGAGACCACUUACAGAAUGGGACAAAAGAUUUGGGAAGUUUUCACCUGUCAAAAGACUAAUAUCCUGAAUAAAUCAGAACUAAAAACUCAACAACAACAAAAUUAAGAAUGAAGUAAAUAAGUGCAAAAAGGGAUCUGAAUAGACAUGCCUCAGAAUAAGAAAUACAAAUCACCAACAAAUACAUAAAAAAUGUUCCCCAUCUCUAGCCAUCACAGAAAUGCAAAUAAAAACAAUGGUAUGUCAUUUCACUCCAGUUAGAAUGACAAUUAUCUGAAAGACACACACAAAAAAGAUAACAAAUGCUGGCAAGAGAAAUGGGAACCCUUAUAUACUACUGGUAGGAAUUCAAAUUAGUACAGCCAUGAUGGAGAAUAGUAUGGAGAUUUGUCAAAAAAAAACCUCAUAUGAUACAUCUAUCCCACUUCUGGUUACUUAUCCAAAGGAAAUUAAAUAGCACAUGAAAGAGAUACCUGUACUCACAUGUUUAUUACAACACUAAUUCACAAUAGCCAAUACAUGGAACCAACCAAGGUGUCCAUCAACAAAUGAAUGGAUAAAGUAUGGUAUGCAUACAUAAUGAAAUAUUAUUCAGCCAUAAAAUAAUGAAAUCCUGUCAUUUGUAGUAAAAUAGGUGAAAUUAGGUGAAAUAUAGCAGAAACAAAAUGACAAGUGCUUCAUGUUCCCUCUUAUAUGUACAAGCUAAAAAAAAGUCAAUAUGAUCUUAUAGUAGUGAUUACUGGAGGCUGAGAAGGUUGGAGGAAGGUUGGAUAAUGGGUACCAAUACACAAUUUUAUGGAAGGAAUAAGUUUUGAUUUUAUGAGCAACUAGUAGAGGGGUGCUUGAAGGUGCCAAUCAUAAAGAAAUGAUGAGGAGAGGCUAGCGCUGAGGCGUAGUGGUGUAAAGUUGCCACCUGCAGCACCGGCAUCCGACACGGGCACCAGUUUGAGUCCUGGCUGCUCCACUUCUGAUUUGGCUCCCUGCUAAUAUGCCUGGGAAAGCAGCAGAAGAUGGCCCAAGUCCUUGGGACCCUGCACCCACAUUGGAAACCCAGAAGAAGCUCCAGGCUCCUGGCUUCAGAUCAGCCCAGUUCCAGCCAGUGUGGUUAUUUGGGGGAGUGAACCAGAAGAUGGAAGACCUCUUUCUCUGCCUCUCUCUCUGCCUCUCUGUAACCCUACUUUUCAAAUAAAUAAAUAAAUAAAUAUUUUUUAAAGAAAUGGUAUGGAAAUGGUAGCUACCCUGAUUUGAUCAUGUAUACAUAUGUUGAAAUAUCACACUAUAACCCAUAAACAUGUAGAGUUAUUACAUGUUAAUCAGAAAUUUAAAAAAACAGUACUAGACUGGGGACUGAUAAUUUUUCUCCAAGAGUAUUUUGAGCUUUGCCUUUCAAGAGACCCAUGUGCACAUAAUAUUUUAUAUUAUGUCCAUUAGACCCAGCCACAGUAUAGUCACUCGUAGUGUGCUUGGAUCAUUUCUGCGAUUUUACAUAGGGCCUUUGCUUCAAUUUCUUCUGAAGAUAUUUUUCUACUUUCUGGAGGGAUGAAUAACCAUGCCUGGUCUGCACCCAAAAGUCUUUGUAAACUUUGAAAACUUUAAAUUCCUGUCAUUUUGUCAAUUCAUUUUCUCUCCCUCUUAUUUUUGUUGAUAAAAAUCCAGCUGUUUUAUCAUUAAUUAAUAUCCAUGUUUAUGUAUGAUAACUUCCCUUGGUCUGUAAUCUGCUUAGUCUAAACUCGGUGUAGCUACUUCUGUGUUCUAUUGACCAAUGUUAGCAUGGUACAUCUUUCUUCAUCAACUUGUUUUUAAUCUAUGGGUGUCUUCAUAUUUGAAAUGGUCUUCUGGUGGACAAUGUACAGUUGGAUCUUAUUCCUUGACUGACUCUGACAAUCUCUGUCUUUAUGUUGGUGCAUUUAGGCCAUUGAAAUUCAAUAUGGUUAUUGAUGUAAUUGGGUUAAUUUUUUUUACUAUUUUCCAUUUUUUUUUUCAUUUCUAUUUUUGUGCUCCACUCUUUUUCUACCUUUUGUGGAUUUCCAGACUUUAGAACUGCUGUGGUCACCAUGCAACCUAUUUGGGCAGAAGUCUCUGUCCUUUGCAGGAGACCCAAGUGAAGAGACCCUGGCAAGAAGAAAGGAAUCUGAAAUGGAAGAUUUGGAAGAUCACCGUGGUCUACAGCCAUAUCCCCCUGAAGAGUUUAUCGUGUGACUGACAAAGUAAAGGCAGAGUUCCAGCUCAGCCGGGAACCAGAGCAGUGAAAGAAGAGGACCCUCAUCAGACACUGCACUGUGAAGUAUCUUCCUAAAGGAGCUCCCACCACGAGGCCUCUCUGGUUCUGCUUAAUAAGGUCCUGGCAUCUUUCUGUUGAGACGGAGUCAAGAGCGAAGCUAUGGAAUGCCUACCCUUCCAAAGUGAGGUUGGGAUCCUGUGAAGAUGAAGAAGAGAGAAGCCUGCAAAUUAAAGGCUCAUGUGUACCCACUGGAGAACACUCCACUACAUGGAAAGGAGACCAGAGAGAUAAAAGACUAUAAAAACCUUUCACACUAUCCUCUGGCCAAUUUUUCCUGAUGAUGUAAGAGCAAGAUUGUAUGUUUUCCUUAAUGUGGCAUUCCAGAAGUAUUGGGCAUAAUAAGAUUAUAGGAUGGUAACCAUGUACCUGACUGCUAUCCUGUCUUACAGGCAUCUCUACUUCCACGUAUAGUAUGCAAAAGACUCAGGAUCUUUCUUAAGUCUUUAAAUACACCAUCUCCCACCUGCCUCAGGGUCUUUGUAUAUGAUGUUUUACCUUCUUGUUUCUCCCUUCCCCAGUUAACCCCCCCAUUCUUUAGAUUUCGUGCUGAAAGCUACUUACUGAGGCAGACGUCCUCAGACGUUGCUCACCAAGGCAGGCCAUCUUGCUAAAGCCCUCAGAUUCCCUGCAUGUUUUCUGCAUGGGUCUUGUCACAGUUUUUAAAAUGUACUAUGCGAUUAGUCCAUGAGUGUCUGUCUCACUAGGCAGCAAAUGUUUUGAGGGCAGGAUCAUGUCUGUUUUCAUUGAAAAAUUGAUUGAUUGAUUUAUUGAUCAGCAAUCACUGGGUCCUUCAAAUCAUAGCUUCUUGAAAGGGUUGAAUCCAUGUUGUGGCUUUUGCUGCCAGUUCAUGGAGAGGAAUUGCUGCAAAGGAUGAUAUAAGAAGUUGAAUUUAGAAAAAUUGCUGUGUAAAUAGAUGGAUCACUGUAACUGCUUGUGAAUGUACACGCACACCAAAACUGUGUUAAGAUGGAUUGAAGACUCUGUUGUCCUUUCUGCCAUCUGCCUAGUGAAUGCCAUACACUUGCAGUUGCUUCAUCAAGCCCAGACAUGUGUGUGUACCUCGUCCUAUGAUGAAUUAAAGAGUUCUCUAUCACAUUCAGCAUCUCCUCCUUCAUUUGGCCAUCCUGAAAGCAUGGAACACUGUUCAUAAAAGAAGCACAAUGUCAAUGUGCCUGUGGACCCAUAACAAUUUGCAUAACAUGAUGCAGCAUGGCCCAAACUGCAGAUAUUACUGUCAGUGGAUCAUGACAUUGGUUUGGUCAGCAUCAUUUCUGUGAAAUACACUUGUGCUAGCAUUACAAAUUUUAUUAGAGAGCCAAGUACUUAGUGUCCUUUGAACACUGGGGGGAAGAGAAAACAAUCAUGAACCCUUGGCUUGAGGAAAUAUGAUUAUUUGUGAAUUGGGUGAAAACAAACACACAAGCAAACAAAAAAUCCUGUCAAUUCUUAUGUACUUCAUCGUAGUUAAUUAUAUUGAUGGAAAUCACUUAUCUACAUGCAUGUCCAGUUUAAGAAAUGGCACUUUUGCUACCUGUGUAAUGAGGCAGAAAACAUUCAGCAUUGCCCAAGCUUAUCUGAUUAUUGUUUGUUCAAGUUAUAAGUACGUGCUUGGUUACUUUCUUUGAGUUGAAAGGACUUCCUGUCGGAGUAUUCACCUAAUUUAUAACACUCACAUCCUGAUGCAGACAUGGAGGGCUGAUUAUCAAGUCAAGAUGUAAUGCUUGGCUUACCUGGGAAGAAACUACAACUCAAUGCAGUGGACUGUUUCUCCAGAUGAAGCAGCUCCUGGACAGAAGCGAGUCUUCAGAGAGCAGCAGAC